GACGAACGCUGGCGGCGUGCUUAACACAUGCAAGUCGAACGGAAAGGCCUCUUUCGGGGGGUACUCGAGUGGCGAACGGGUGAGUAACACGUGAGUAACCUGCCCUUGACUUUGGGAUAACUUCAGGAAACUGGGGCUAAUACCGGAUAGGAGCUCCUGCUGCAUGGUGGGGGUUGGAAAGUUUCGGCGGUUGGGGAUGGACUCGCGGCUUAUCAGCUUGUUGGUGGGGUAGUGGCUUACCAAGGCUUUGACGGGUAGCCGGCCUGAGAGGGUGACCGGCCACAUUGGGACUGAGAUACGGCCCAGACGCCUACGGGAGGCAGCAGGGGGGAAUAUUGCACAAUGGGUGGAAGCCUGAUGCAGCAACGCCGGGUGCGGGAGGACGGCCUUCGGGUUGGAAACCGCUUUCGCUCAUGACGAAGCUUUGUGUGACGGUAGUGGGUAAAGAAGCACCGGCUAACUACGUG
rnacentral:rRNA from 1 species